CUCUGGGCGUUGCUGCGAGCCGUCAGCAGCUCCAAGAUGGCAUCCUCAUCGGUCCCUAUGGCAACAAGGACCAUGGUUACUCAGCCAAGCUGUAGACCCCGGCUGUCCCCGUUCACCUGGCUGAUGCCCCUGAACUUUUCGUGCCAGGUUAAAGCGGCUUCGGUGAUGUGAGGGACUUACCGCAGAGCUGCAGCUGACAGAUGAAGCUCGGUGAGCAGACAGAGAGACCCGGCAGAAAGUGAAGAGAGGAAGAAGAAGGAGGACGGAGAGAGAAAACCCACUCGGAAAAA